AUUGAACGCUCGCGGGAGGCUUUACACAUGCAAGUCGAACGAGUGGCGGACGGGUGAGUAAUAUAUCGGAACCUGGCCAGUAGCGGGGGAUAACUACGGGAAAGGGUGGCUAAUACCGCAUACUAUAGGAGGGGCCGAUAUCGGAUUAGGUAGUUGGUGGGGUAAAGGAUAACCAAGGCAACGAUCCGUAGCUGGUGUGAGAGGAAGACCAGCCACACGGGGACUGAUACACGGCCCAGACUCCUACGUGAGGCAGCAUUGGGGAAUUUUGCACAAUGGGUGAAACCCUGAUGCAGCCAUCCCGCGUGUAUGAGAAGGCCUUCGGGUGGUAAAGUACUUUUGGCAGAGAAGCGUUAUCUACAGAAUAAGCACCGGCUAACUCCGUGCCAGCAGCCGCGGUAAUAC
rnacentral:rRNA from 1 species